CGCGAAGAACCUUACCAAGGCUUGACAUAUACAGGAAUAUGGCAGAGAUGUCAUAGCCGCAAGGUCUGUAUACAGGUGGUGCAUGGUUGUCGUCAGCUCGUGUCGUGAGAUGUUGGGUUAAGUCCCGCAACGAGCGCAUCCCUCGUUCUGUGUUGCCAGCAUUUAGUUGGGGACUCACAGGAGACUGCCGGGGUCAACUCGGAGGAAGGUGGGGAUGACGUCAAAUCAUCAUGCCCCUUAUGUCUUGGGCGCACGCAUGCUACAAUGGCUGGUACAAAGGGCUGCAAUACUGCAAAGUGGAGCGAAUCCCAAAAAGCCAGUCUCAGUUCGGAUUGGGGUCUGCAACUCGACCCCAUGAAGUCGGAGUUGCUAGUAAUCGUAGAUCAGCAACGCUACGGUGAAUACGUUCCCGGGGCUUGUACACACCGCCCGUCACAUCACGAAAGUCGGUAACACC
rnacentral:rRNA from 1 species